rnacentral:tRNA from 1 species
GCCAAUAGGGCUGCUAAUGCAGGCUACUUUGAUAUAGUAGACUAAAAACAAAAGUUUCGUUGGUA